AGUGAACGCUGGCGGUAGGCCUAACACAUGCAAGUCGAACGGCAGCACAGUAAGAGCUUGCUCUUACGGGUGGCGAGUGGCGGACGGGUGAGGAAUACAUCGGAAUCUACUUUUUCGUGGGGGAUAACGUAGGGAAACUUACGCUAAUACCGCAUACGACCUACGGGUGAAAGCAGGGGAUCUUCGGACCUUGCGCGAUUGAAUGAGCCGAUGUCGGAUUAGCUAGUUGGCGGGGUAAAGGCCCACCAAGUGGACGAUCCGUAGCUGGUGUGAGAGACUGAUCGGCGGCAUGGGAACUGAGACACGGUCCAGACUCCUACGGGAGGCAGCAGUGGGGAAUAGUGGACAAUGGGCGCAAGCCUGAUCCAGCCAGACCGCGUGGGUGAAGAAGGCCUUCGGGUUGUAAAGCCCUUUUGUUGGGAAAGAAAAGCAGCAGGUUAAUACCCCGCUGUUCUGACGGUACCCAAAGAAUAAGCACCGGCUAACUUCGUG
rnacentral:rRNA from 1 species